GGGGGAAAAAUUAAUAAAAUAUAAAUAAAAAAAAAAUUUUUAAUAAAAAUAUUUGGGGGUUAAAGUAUUUUUAAGAAAAAAUUAAUAAAUUUAUAGUUAAAUAGUAUUGUGAAAGAAUUUUGAAAUAAAUGAAAAUUAAUUUUUUAAAAAGUAAAUUUUAUUUAUUGUAUCUUGUGUAUCAAAGUUUAUUAAUAAAAUAUUAUAAGUAAAAUUUUCUCGAAUUUUAAAGAGUUAAUUAAUUAAUAAAGUUAAUGUUGAAUAAUUAUUUUAAAUAAUUAAUGGGAAAUGAAAUGUUAAUCGUUUUAAAAUAUAUCUAGUUUUUUUAGAAAUAAAUUUAAUUUAAAAUAUAAAUUAUUAAUUUUUUUUUAAAAAAAAAUUAAUAAUUUAUAUUUAAUAUUUUAAGGGAUAAGCUUUAAAAUAAAAUUUUAUAAUAAUUAUUGAAAAAUAUUAAAAUUUUAGAAUUUAAAUUGUUAAUAAAUUAUAAUUUUUUAUAAAAAAUUUAAUAUAAAAUAAAAUUUAAGGGGGGAAAAUUUAAUUUUAUAUAAAAAAAUAAUUUUUAAUAAAUAAAAAUUAAUUAUAAUGAUAAAAUUAGUAUAAUUUAUAUAUAUAUAUAUAUAUAUAUAAAUAUGUUAUUUAUAUAAUUUAAAUAAUUAUAAAAAUAGAAAAAAGUUAUAAUAAGGAAUUCGGCAAAUUACUAUAUUCACUUGUUUAUCAAAAACAUGUCUUUUUGAAAAUAAUAUAAAGUCUAAUCUGCCCACUGAUAAAUUAUUAAAGGGCUGCAGUAUAUUGACUGUACAAAGGUAGCAUAAUCAUUUGUCUCUUAAUUGGUGACUUGUAUGAAAGAUUGAAUGAAAUAUGAACUGUCUCAUUAUAAUUUAUAAAAUUUAAUUUUUUAGUAAAAAAGCUAAAAUAAAUUUAAAAGACGAGAAGACCCUAUAGAGUUUUAUAAUUUUUUUAAAAAUAAUAAAAUAUAAAUUUUUAAAUUAAAUUUAAUUAAAUUAUUUUGUUGGGGUGACAAAAAAAUUUAAUUAACUUUUUUUAAAAAAUUACAUUAAUUUAUGAUAAAAUGAUCCAUUAAUAAUGAUUAUAAGAAAAAAUUACCUUAGGGAUAACAGCGUAAUUUUUUUUUUUAGGUCAAAUAAAAAAAAAAGUUUGCGACCUCGAUGUUGGAUUAAGAUAAAAUUUAUAUGCAAAAGUUUAAAAUUUUGAUCUGUUCGAUCAUUAAAAUCUUACAUGAUCUGAGUUCAAACCGGUGUAAGCCAGGUUGGUUUCUAUCUUUAAUAAAAUAAAAUAUUUUAGUACGAAAGGAAUAAAUAUUUAAAAUAAUUUUAUAAAAAUGAAUAUUAAUAAAUAAUUUAUAUAUAUAUAUAUAUAUAUAUA
rnacentral:rRNA from 1 species